rnacentral:lncRNA from 1 species
UCUCAAACAAUCAACAUCUUUACAUGCAAAUGCCAUCAAAAGGACUUUUUCAAGGCUUGUAAUGAGGUUGGGCUAACAAGAAAAAUUGGUUUUUCUGGAAAACAAAAUCCUUGAGUUAAGAAAGCUAUCAUAGUAUUCCACAUUUAAGCAGAACUCUCUUCCUCACCAAUCUCACUCAAUCCCAACUUUUUCCAUUUUCUUUUUCUUUUUCAUUGAGCCCAUCUUCAUGUUUUUCAUCUUUUCUUUUCUUUUUCUCAUGAAUUUUUCUUUUCACAACAUUUGAGCUCAAUGUUUUUUGCUUGCCUUUCAAUUUCCCCCAUGCAACCCCAAACUUGAACCUUUUCGUCACAUACAGUUAAGCUCACCCC